GAGACCUUGAUGCCGGUCGGGCCGAGAAUCACCACGAACAGCACGGGCAAGAAGAACACGAUCAUCGGCACGGUCAGCUUCGGCGGCAACGCGGCCGCCUUCUUCUCGGCCUCGUUCANNNNGCCAUCACGCGCAGCGUCUGUCCCAGCGGCGUGCCGUAGCGCUCCGACUGUUGCAGGGCCAGACAGACCGAUUUGACGCCUUCGGUUCCAGUCCGCUUGGCGAGAUUCUCGU
rnacentral:misc_RNA from 1 species